UACGUAGGGGGCAAGCGUUGUCCGGAUUUAUUGGGCGUAAAGAGCGUGUAGGCGGCCUUACAGGUCAGCUGUGAAAACUCGAGGCUCAACCUCGAGACGUCGGUUGAAACCGUAUGGCUAGAGUCCGGAAGAGGAGAGUGGAAUUCCCGGUGUAGCGGUGAAAUGCGCAGAUAUCGGGAAGAACACCAACGGCGAAGGCAGCUCGCUGGGACGGUACUGACGCUGAGACGCGAAAGCGUGGGGAGCGAACAGG
rnacentral:rRNA from 1 species